rnacentral:lncRNA from 7 species
GAGAUAUGCCCAAGUUUAAGCUCUGUCCUGUAGGCUAGGUACCUUUAUGGGGUACAUUGAAAUAAAGAGGGAGAAGAAAAAAGUCUACCGUGUCCCUUCAUUCUUCUGCCUUCUCACAGAGGGGAGAGAGAUGUGGAGCUCCUGGAGGUGUCAGACGUUGCCUGGUUUCUCUAACGUGGUUCUGAUCUUUAUGGUUAUAAUGUUGGCUUCUUAUGCUGCAAAGUACCCAUGAGAAUUAGUCUCACAAUAGGCAUCACUGACAUGGAUAACACUAAGAAAUCUUUCCAAGUGCUCUUACCACUAUGUAGGUGAAAUACUUCUAUGCUGAGCCAGCCUGUGUUUGCGAUUGUAUACUGUGACUGGCGUGUUGCAUCUGAUUACUGGCUUGAAAAGUGUGAUGAAAUCUGAAACAGAAAAGGUGACAUUUGCCAUUGUGUGGACAGGUUAUGCUUGGAUUAUAGUUAAUUUUUUGAUUCCUCUUUCCUGCUGAUGAUGCGUUUGUUAUGCUUUUUUCAAUUUUUUUUUGUUAGGCCUUCUUCCCAAAUCACAGCCUCUUUAAUGAACAUGGGUUGCAUAAUGUAUAAAGGCAGUGAGAUAAUGCUGUUAGAUAAAUUGCUGUACUGCUGUUUUAUUUCUGAUGGAAUUACCAUAUUUACAUGCAAUAACUCAAUGUUUUAGGAAAACCUUUCCUGUGAACAGAUAGUUUUGAGCAUUGAGUUGCAUUAACUGAAAUAAACUGACUCCC